GAUAAACGCUGGCGGCGUGCCUAAUACAUGCAAGUCGAGCGAACGGACGAGAAGCUUGCUUCUCUGAUGUUAGCGGCGGACGGGUGAGUAACACGUGGAUAACCUACCUAUAAGACUGGGAUAACUUCGGGAAACCGGAGCUAAUACCGGAUAAUAUUUUGAACCGCAUGGUUCAAAAGUGAAAGACGGUCUUGCUGUCACUUAUAGAUGGAUCCGCGCUGCAUUAGCUAGUUGGUAAGGUAACGGCUUACCAAGGCAACGAUGCAUAGCCGACCUGAGAGGGUGAUCGGCCACACUGGAACUGAGACACGGUCCAGACUCCUACGGGAGGCAGCAGUAGGGAAUCUUCCGCAAUGGGCGAAAGCCUGACGGAGCAACGCCGCGUGAGUGAUGAAGGUCUUCGGAUCGUAAAACUCUAUUAUUAGGGAAGAACAUAUGUGUAAGUAACUGUGCACAUCUUGACGGUACCUAAUCAGAAAGCCACGGCUAACUACGUGCCAGCAGCCGCGGUAAUACGUAGGUGGCAAGCGUUAUCCGGAAUUAUUGGGCGUAAAGCGCGCGUAGGCGGUUUUUUAAGUCUGAUGUGAAAGCCCACGGCUCAACCGUGGAGGGUCAUUGGAAACUGGAAAACUUGAGUGCAGAAGAGGAAAGUGGAAUUCCAUGUGUAGCGGUGAAAUGCGCAGAGAUAUGGAGGAACACCAGUGGCGAAGGCGACUUUCUGGUCUGUAACUGACGCUGAUGUGCGAAAGCGUGGGGAUCAAACAGGAUUAGAUACCCUGGUAGUCCACGCCGUAAACGAUGAGUGCUAAGUGUUAGGGGGUUUCCGCCCCUUAGUGCUGCAGCUAACGCAUUAAGCACUCCGCCUGGGGAGUACGACCGCAAGGUUGAAACUCAAAGGAAUUGACGGGGACCCGCACAAGCGGUGGAGCAUGUGGUUUAAUUCGAAGCAACGCGAAGAACCUUACCAAAUCUUGACAUCCUUUGACAACUCUAGAGAUAGAGCCUUCCCCUUCGGGGGACAAAGUGACAGGUGGUGCAUGGUUGUCGUCAGCUCGUGUCGUGAGAUGUUGGGUUAAGUCCCGCAACGAGCGCAACCCUUAAGCUUAGUUGCCAUCAUUAAGUUGGGCACUCUAAGUUGACUGCCGGUGACAAACCGGAGGAAGGUGGGGAUGACGUCAAAUCAUCAUGCCCCUUAUGAUUUGGGCUACACACGUGCUACAAUGGACAAUACAAAGGGCAGCGAAACCGCGAGGUCAAGCAAAUCCCAUAAAGUUGUUCUCAGUUCGGAUUGUAGUCUGCAACUCGACUACAUGAAGCUGGAAUCGCUAGUAAUCGUAGAUCAGCAUGCUACGGUGAAUACGUUCCCGGGUCU
rnacentral:rRNA from 1 species